UAUCCGGAAUUAUGGGGCGUAAAGGGCUCGUAGGCGGUUCGUCGCGUCCGGUGUGAAAGUCCAUGCGCUUAACGGUGGAUCCGCGCCGGGUACGGGCGGGCUUGAGUGCGGUAGGGGAGACUGGAAUUCCCGGUGUAACGGUGGAAUGUGUAGAUAUCGGGAAGAACUCCAAUGGCGAAGGCAGGUCUCUGGGCCGUUACUGACACUGAGGAGCGAAAGCGUGCGGGAGCGAACAGGAUUAGAUAC
rnacentral:rRNA from 1 species